GUUUCAAGGAAGUAGAGAGAGGGGAUUUCGGGAACUUCUCAGGAUUGAGAAAAACAGAUUGGGAGACAGGGCCCAGGAGAAAGGUCUGUACGUGUCCCAGCCUGAGCAGAGGUGCCAGAAGGAAAGGAUGCCUUGGAACAGGGUGUUCCGAAGCCCUUCCCUGAUCUGGGAGGACUUCUGGAGGAGCCCUCACCGUCACACCUUUGCUUCUGCACUGGGUCUUAGACUGCUUCCAUUCACCAUUCUCUGAACUCCAUGUGGAAAGCCCUGCGAUUUCCAGGUCUCCUUUCUUCCUGACUCUGUUCUGCAGCCACAGACAUGGCCUGGCAGGGCCCGAGCAUGGUGAGCCCCAGUUCUUCUUGCUCAGUUCUUUUGACACCUCUGGCUGGGGCCCACCCUUUGGCCCAGGCGGGAGGCCCCAGAGCUCAAGCCUGGCCCGAGAGCUCUGGGAAACCUGUUCCCCUUGGCCACCCCCUUCCCACAGCCCCAGGGAGGGCGGUAAGAAUUUCUGGAAAUGCAGCUGGGCCAGCGACAAUGAGGCAGGAUGCCCUCCCCCUUCAGGAGCCCAGCCCUGCUGCAGACCCACUGCCUCUCGGGCUGGGCCCACAGAGGUAACCCUCUCUGCGGUGCCUCCAUUGGGGCAGGGAGGGCCAGCCCAACAGCCCAGCCCAGCCCAGCCCAGCCCUUCCCUGGCUGCCCUUCCCCACCUCAGGCUCCAGGACCCGGACAGGCCCCUGCAGCAGGGCCCGAAGGAAGGGCAUGCGCCCUGGGCUCUCUCCCCGCAGGCCAAAGCCCAUGCUGGGUGGGUCUGGUCUCUUCUUGCCCACUGUUUUUGCCUCACUCAGUCAUACUUUGAACAAAGAGUGAGGAGAGGGCACCCCCUUCGGUGCUCUGAUGGACCCGUGGACAAGGCUGGGGUCCAGGCUGGGUGGAGUGGAACAAUAUGCAACUCAAGAAUGUCAAUAUAUAACCUAACAACAACGGACUUAUUGCACCGAAUGAAAAUCCAGAGGAAGCUGUAAGAGAGGCUGCUGCUGCCAACUCUGACAGGGAAUUGAAUGAAGAUGACAGUACAGAUUGUGAGGAGGAUGUUCAAACAGAAAGAAAUGGAGUGACUCGGGAUACAGGGACAGCAGCUGAAGAAUUUAAUGAGGACACUGACUGGUGAAACAGCAUUUACGAAUCGUUGAGGUUAUUUGUUCCAAAUUCAGUUCAUCCAAAAUGGAGUUAAUAUGCUUCACUUCAGUGUGUAACCAAGCACAAAUGUUGAAUCUGUGAAUGGGUUUCUGUUUACUGUGAUGUCCCACUGUAAACAUACCUCUUCAAUUACUUCUGGUCUCUUUGGUGACCUAUUUAAACUUGUGUACAUUAUUGUACAUAGAAUAAAAUGUUUUCACUUUUUUAUGACAGAAAAAAAGAAUGUCAAUAUAUA